rnacentral:rRNA from 2 species
AGAGUUUGAUCAUGGCUCAGAAUGAACGCUGGCGGCAUGCCUAACACAUGCAAGUCGAACGAAGGCUUCGGCCUUAGUGGCGCACGGGUGCGUAACGCGUGGGAAUCUGCCCUCAGGUUCGGAAUAACAGCGAGAAAUUGCUGCUAAUACCGGAUGAUAUCGCGAGAUCAAAGAUUUAUCGCCUGAGGAUGAGCCCGCGUAGGAUUAGCUAGUUGGUGUGGUAAAGGCGCACCAAGGCGACGAUCCUUAGCUGGUCUGAGAGGAUGAUCAGCCACACUGGGACUGAGACACGGCCCAGACUCCUACGGGAGGCAGCAGUGGGGAAUAUUGGACAAUGGGCGAAAGCCUGAUCCAGCAAUGCCGCGUGAGUGAUGAAGGCCUUAGGGUUGUAAAGCUCUUUUACCCGGGAUGAUAAUGACAGUACCGGGAGAAUAAGCUCCGGCUAACUCCGUGCCAGCAGCCGCGGUAAUA